CAUGAGUAUUUGAAAACACAUGCUUUGAAAUAAAUACAAUAAGCCAGUACCUGUGGGGAGCAAACAAGGUUAAAGGGACAUUCGGGCCUUCAUUUCUUUUCAGACAGAACAGAUUUUAUUCUCUAUGUAUGAAUAUGUUAAAAGGACGGAAGGUAUAGAGUGGAAAGAUAGGUGUUGAUUAUAGAUCAAGUAAGGUUCCAGAUGGUGCAGAAAAGGUUCUAGGUUGGUCAGGAU
rnacentral:lncRNA from 1 species